CUCCCGAGGAGUGAACGGUCACUGAACAGACAGAAGAAGAAGAAGGAUUUCUCCAGCAGUUUGCAGAAAGCGGAUCCGUCUGGGCCUCUGUCUUCAAAUCGAAAGUAAACUGGAGACUUGAUUCUUAGGAAAUUCAAGUGUACAUUUCUAAGAUUUAUGAACUGCCAUAAAUAUCACACAUCAGGGCAGGUCUGAAGUCAGUGUGUGGUCAUGGAGAACAGAGACAGAUCUUCAUCUGCUGACCCCAGCUGUGUGUCUCUGAAGAGUGACGCAUCCAUGCAGGAUCCUGGAUUCAGCCUCGGACCAGUGACCUCUGACCCCAGGUGAGAUACAGUCCUGUACAGUGCAAGAGAGUGAGGGUCUCACACAUACACUCACACACACACACGCAGACACACACACAUACACACGCUCACACACACAUGCACACACUCACUCACUCAUUUUCUCACACACACACACACACACACACACACACACACACACACACACACUCACUCACACACACAGACACAGAUACUGGUUUUUGUGGUUCAGCAGCCAAACCAGUUGUAUGGUGGUCUAAGGGGACACAUCUUUCCCAGUGCCCUACUGAGAUUAUAAAACUAUCAAAACAUUAGUUUUAAUCUGCAGAUGAUGAAUCUGGCUUAGAAUUUUCUCUACACACAGUGAAAUGAAUAAUAUGACAAUAUGAUAUUUUGGUGGUACUCAGGGAGAGCCACGCCCCCUGAAAUGUUCCUGCCCCUUACAUAAUUGGGAUUUAUAGGGUCCUCCCGGUUUAUAAGGACACAAUUAACCCUCUCAACACACAGAAACUGCUGCAAUGUGCAAUAUCUAUUAUCAUUAUUUUUGCAAUGUUGAAUCAAAGUAUUUUUUUGUAAAGAUACAUUUUGUAAAGUCUAUUUAAUACUUAAAUCAUCUAACACAAUAUUGUUUUUAAAUGGUCUUUUGUUGGGGUAUAUUCUCAGCUAAAACUGAUGUGUGAUUAAAUAGAUCUAGAAUUAGAAUAAUUAGCAUCUAGUGGCUACAUCGUGAUGUUACCGAUGAUUUUGAAUAUCAUAAAUAUUUGAAAGUGACGUGUAGUCAAGUAUGGUUUCCCAUACUUAAAAUUUGUGCUCUGCAUGUAACCCAUCUAAGAGCACACACACAGCAGUGAGUAGUGAACACACCCAGAGCAGUAUUUAUGUAUUUUUGUGUCUUGGACUGACACUGUAUACAGGCAGAAGAAGACAAGUUGAGCUAGAAUCAUAUUAGUAGUAUCCCUGGAACAUAUUUUAUCUUUAAAAUACAAUUCUGUGAAUAGGAUUUUUAAGGAUGAGAACAUAUUUGCAACAAUUAAUGAAAAGACUCCAGACUCGACUCUGACCUCAGAGGAAAGACUUGUGGACAUGUCUGAAUGAAUCUGUUCGAGAUCUCAGAGAUGCUUCUGUAACCUGAACCUGAUGACUACUUCACUGU
ensembl:lncRNA